rnacentral:rRNA from 1 species
UACGGGGGGGGGCAAGCGUUGUUCGGAAUUACUGGGCGUAAAGGGCUCGUAGGCGGCCAACUAAGUCAGACGUGAAAUCCCUCGGCUUAACCGGGGAACUGCGUCUGAUACUGGUUGGCUUGAAUCCGGGAGAGGGAUGUGGAAUUCCAGGUGUAGCGGUGAAAUGCGCAGAUAUCAGGAGGAACACCGAUUGCGAAGGCAGCUCGCUGGGACGUAACUGACGCUGAGACGCGAAAGCGUGGGGAGCAAACAGG